AGUUUGCACUUUAUCCCGUUGUGAUGCGGUUUGAACGGCAUCGUCUGGAUGAAAGCAUUACAUCAACAAGAUGUGACAACAAGAACGGGAGAGAGGGGAGAGAGAGAGCAAAAGCAAAUGGAUGGCGGGCAUCACUGAAUCGUGGCUGACAAAAGUUUAUAGUUGGCUGCUUAAAUCCAAGGAUAAAUAUUGAAUCGAAAGGAUACGCAGACAGCGCCAAUGAAUCCCAACGAGAACAGAGUUACUCACGGGUGUAACACACUUGAUUUUCUAAUACCACUCAUGGCUGAAUAGGUCAGAUCUAGGACAAGACAAUCACUGUUUGUGAGCUCCAAGGAGAGUGACCUGAAAUGCUGUGUCCCUGUCUCUCAUUAGUCAGAUAUUCAGCAAGAUAGCAGAUUUUUUUUUGUUUGCCCCUUCCCUUUCAGGAAAUCCUAUUGAUCUUCUUCCCUUUCAGGACAACCUGUUGAUUUUUUGGGAUCAUGGGAUAUCAGCAAGUCACCAGAUUUAUUUUAGGUUUUGUGCUUUCUUCUGCCCUUUUAGAUCAAACUAUUGAUGUUUGUGGUCAUAAGAUAUCAGCUUCGUGCGUGAUUUUUCACAUCCAAUCAAUCUCUGAGUUUUUCGAGGAAAUUACCAGGAAAAGGGAUGAAGGCAAGGUUGUGGAUAUUGUCUACAUGGACUUCAGCGCGGUA